UUAGUCACACAUUUGAACGGGAUAACAAAACAGUGGAUGGCCUUUUUUAACUGAAUAACGAAAGACUGAAAUUUGAGGCCUAUAUAUACUGUUUGAGUGAGUAAUGAGAUUGAAAAACCUUGGAAUGAGUACUAACUUGAGUCACACAUUUGAACGGGAUAACAAAACAGUGAAUGGCUUUUUAACUAUACUGAAAAAGUGGAAAUUGUGUCUUCUAUAAUGCUGUAUUGGCUUAUAUGAGGCAAAAUACCUUGGAGUAGAAUAACAAAUUAGUGUCACGCAUUUUAACAGGAUAACAAAACAAUGAAUGGCUUUUUAACAAUACUGAAAGAGAGAGAAAUGUGGCCUCUAAUGCUGGAGUGAAAUAACCAACUAGUGUCACGCAUUUUAACGGGAUAACAAAACAAUGAAUGGCUUUUUAACAAUACUGAAAGAGAGAGAAAUGUGGCCUCUAAUGCUGGAGUGAAAUAACCAACUAGUGCCACGCAUUUUAACGGGAUAACAAAACAGUGAAUGGCUUUUUAACAAUACUGGAAGAAUGGAAAUCAUGGCCUUUAUUUGUAUCGCUGGACUGGCUUGUACGAGUUUAGAAAAAGGGUAACAACUUAAAGGAAGGUGAUUUGAGUGCUCACACCAACAUUCGGUAAAGCUUUCGUAGAGGUUGUGUUGUUCAGUGUCUCCAUGGGUACUGUUAUGUGCCUAGUGAUAGUUUGACAAGGCUUCUCCACCAUUAACAUAAAAACACUCUUGCGAACACGACUCGUCUUCUUUGUGGCCUUAGAGCAUAGUUGUUUUGAGGUCCGUAAACGUCUCGGAAAAAGGGGGCUGGGAGUUGGUCGGCCUGAACCUCCUCCCACUGACAAGCUAGCGGAUUGUAACAAGUGUUCUGACCUCCUGUGGUAUAUUCUACAACGACUGUCCCGGCCGGAGUGGAAAACAAUUGGGCGGCUUUUCCGAUACCCUACGCCCCUGUCCACCCAGCAGUGAAUGGGUACCAGGUAUUAAUCGGGGGUUGUCUCUCCUGUAAUUCCUUCCCCUUCUGUCUCUCUCCGGCAUAUGACCACAGAUGUUGCGCCGACCAAACCAAACUUUCCAACUGUUCCCUUCUCCUAUAAUUCCUUCCCCUCCUGUCUCUCUCCGGCAUAUGACCACAGAUGUUGCGCCGACUAAACGAAACUUUCCAACUUUCUACUACGACUACUAAUAUUAACCAGUGUCGUGUUGGAAAUCUAUGCUGAGAAGAACGAGAUGAUAGAAUCGUAGAGUGGAGAAAGGGAAAUACGUGUAACAAUGUGAUUAGAUGCGAACACAAACAAAGAAACGAAGAAGAUAUAACGUUGUGGAGAUGAAGUUUGAAAUUGUAAAGGAAAAUCGGUUGAUAAACGUGAAGUAGACAGUAACGAUUAAUAGAGUAAGCAGAGGGGAAAUUCUAACCGUUUUAAGACUGGAAAAAUGUAACCUCCAGAUGAAUAGUGGUAAUUGUAAUCAUGUUAGAGGUGAAAAUAGGCAGAACAAAAGAACAUUCUAGAACCGUUAAGAGAAAAAAAAGUUGCAUUAUUAACGAAAAAGGGGAUACGGGUGAAGGGAAUGGCCGAGGAAGGGGGAGCUUGUGAUACGGGUGAAGGGAAUGGCCGAGGAAGGGAGAGAUUGUGAUAUGGGAGAAGGGAAUGGACGAGGAAGGGGGAGCUUGUGAUACGGGUGAAGGGAAUAGCCGAGGAAGGGAGAGAUUGUGAUAUGGGAGAAGGGAAUGGACGAGAAAGGGAGAGCUUGUGAUACGGGUGAAGGGAAUGGCCGAGGAAGGGGGAGCUUGUGACAUGGGCGAAGGGAAUGGCCGAGGAAGGGGGAGCUUGUGACAUGGGUGAAGGGAAUGGCCGAGAAAGAGAGCUUGUGAUAUAUACCUAACCUUAUCUUACAAGGGAAAGCUAAUCUAAUGCUGUCAAAAGAGGUUGGAUAAAAGGAAUUAUACAACCGUUUAAAGAAGUACCCCCCAAAAAAUAAAAAUAACGUUAUAAUUGUGAUAUAAAGAGGGACAAAAACCGUUAAAGAAGACGAAGAUAAAAAAGUGAACGCGAUGCUCAAUUAGAACGAACCUGAUCACCUUUUUUUUUUAUAUCAACAUCCCUUGUCUUAUCGCCCUCUCGAGACCGGGUGCUACUGCCCUUAAUACAAGUGGUGUGUUCACGGUAAGGAAUGCUUGCCUGUGCGUGGUCAGGAUUCUCAUAAAGUGUGAUUGUGAUGUUAAUAAUUGAAAUAGUAAUAACGAUGAUAACAAAUCGAAAUAGUAGUAAUAGUGAUAUCUGGAAUGCAACUAUAGUCAACAUAAACCUAAGCGUGUUUGCAAGCUGAGUGCUGAUUGGCUUCUGCUAUGGCUUCCAAGUUUAAUCUCUGUGUUUAUCUCACGCAUCACUUUCUGCUCAUCUGCACUGAGCUGACGAACACGCUUAGGUUCAUGUUGUCAGCUUGGGUCAGACUUAACCCGGUAGCUGCAGGGAUCAUAUUUCUUAAACGCCCUUCCCUCUAGGCGAGAAUAAUGAGAAAAAAUCAUCACUCACGCAAACCAUUUCAUAAUAUAUAUCAACGCAUUUGUGAUCAGUUUAUGCAUCAUCUAUUUUUGGGGGUUUAUAUCAUGACAAAAAUGUGGCCCGUCUCUGGUACACGGUAAAGCCACAAAUUUGGCCCGUCGCUGCUACACGGUAAAGCCACAAAUUUGGCCCGUCGCUGCUACACGGUAAAGCCACAAAUUUGGCCCGUCGCUGCUACACGGUAAAGCCACAAAUUUGACCCGUCGCUGCUACCGGGUUUAGUGAGCAGACCAUAGUGGCAAUGAUAAAUGGAAUACUAACUAGGAUUGAAAUAGUGAAAAUAAUGAUCACUAUACCCGACGAGAGCUGGCGGGUAAUGGUACUGAUUUGAAAGAGGUACCGUAGCAGAGAGCGAGAGAUAGUAGGCUAGGCUAUGACACGGCAGGUUAUAUUUAGUAAACAACAGCCAAUGAGCGACGCAGAUCAGAUCAGGUAUGGUCCCGGGAUAUGCCUUUUCAACGGCUCCCAAUACCCCGUCACCCAAGCAAUGAUGCCAAGUCCGCGAAUCUACCCCUGAAGGAUUCGGCUAACUGGAACCGACUUUUUUUUACAUAGGGCAGCAAAUCGAGUUAAUACAUGUUUUUAAUGACUCAGUGUUGCGUAAUUAACUAACGAGAGAGGUCUUCAGUAAAAUCCAAUUAAUUAACUAAAAACAAUAAAGAAAUAUCGCAGUAAAACGUGAUUAGAGAGGGAAAGUCGUAGUAGAAACUGUUGCUAUAUUAAAAUAGUUGCCGUAGAACUCGGAAACAUUGAAAAGUCGUAGUAAAACCGAAUUAACGAGAAAAAAGUCGUAGUAAAGCCCAAUAAACGAGAAAAAAGUCGUAGUAAAACCCAAUAAACGAGAAAAAGUCUUAGUAAAACCCAAUAAACGAGAAAAAAGUCGUAGUAAAACCCAAUAAACGAGAAAAAAGUCGUAGUAAAACCCAAUAAACGAGAAAAAAGUCGUAAUAAAACCCAAUAAACGAGAAAAAAGUCGUAAUAAAACCCAAUAAACGAGAAAAAAGUCGUAAUAAAACCCAAUAAACGAGAAAAAAGUCGUAAUAAAACCCAAUAAACGAGAAAAAAUCGUAGUAAAACCCAAUAAACGAGAAAAAAGUCGUAGUAAAACCCGAUAAACGAGAAAAAAGUCGUAGUAAAAC